UGUAAAGAUGGUAACAUCAAAGCCGAGUAGUUCUAAUUGCCCGUACGCUUUAAUUUU
rnacentral:rRNA from 1 species